UACAGAGGUCUCAAGCGUUGUUCGGAUUCAUUGGGCGUAAAGGGUGCGUAGGUGGCGUCGUAAGUCGGGUGUGAAAUUUCGGAGCUUAACUCCGAAACUGCAUUUGAUACUGCCUUGCUUGAGGACUGGAGAGGAGACUGGAAUUCACGGUGUAGCAGUGAAAUGCGUAGAGAUCGUGAGGAAGACCAGUGGCGAAGGCGGGUCUCUGGACAGUUCCUGACACUGAGGCACGAAGGCCAGGGGAGCAAACGGG
rnacentral:rRNA from 1 species